ensembl:lncRNA
CUCUUCACCCCCACUGCCGUUUUUCCCGUUUUCCUUAAUGGAGUGGGUUCUCUCUCGUCUUCCUUUUAUUUUGAUUAGUACUGUUAUAAUUCUGGAUUUGAUUCUGGGGCCGCUUCCUGUUGGCCGAGCCUCCUCCCCCCCUCUGCAGCCUGAGGCUGUGGGGGAGGGGAGCCCCGUACUGCCAUUCCCCCCCCCUCCCCCCAAAUCCUCCCACGCUCCCCCGCGUGUCCGUGUGCGUGCGUGUGCGCGUUGCGGGGGCUGUGACACGCGGGGGUGAGCGGCCACCCGAGGGGGUUUCCGGGCCGAGUCAGUCCGAGUGAAGGCAGGAACCCCAACGCCGUGUUUAAAUGCCGUGUUUCUUCCUUCCAAGCCAAACGUCCGUAAUUUGUAGACUGAAAGUUGGAAGAUAAAUCAAAGCGGACCUUAAUAGACUGGGUAAAAUAUCCCCGUGCGCGUUUAUAGAGACGUAUCCCUAUGCCGUGUAGAUAAUCGCGCACGCUGUUUGCCAUCUGUAUCUUCCAGAGCAAAGGAAAAAUGUCGCCAUUUUGGUCGCACGCUGAAAUAUUAUUAAUCUUUGGGCUUUAUCUUGUUCCCAGAGCCACCCCUGCCUGAUGCCGAAGCAUCGCCACGCAGCCGCGAAUCUAUAGAGAGCUUCUCUGCAUAAGCAGAUAAAGAGCGCUCGGGCAGAGAAAGGCAUUGCGGAUAUACCCGCACCAUGAGGCGCCUCACGGGCGGAGAUGUAGAACCGUGGAAGGCAAAGAAGGCAUUUUGGCACCGUCGCGAGGCAUCGCUCGUUUCCACUUAGCGAAUAUAGAGAACCCAAACGCCCCCCACCCCUCAGCUAAGUGCCAUAGAUCAAACAAAAGGUAACGGUACGGGCGGUGAAGUCGGGUCGUGAGGCUUAGCGCCAGGAUUGCAUCUCUGAAAAUGUCCAUAGAGAAGGAAUUCGGCUUUUCUUCCCCCUCCCACUCCGAAGGAAGAAAAAGCCAGGCGGCUUUGCCCCCUUCUUUCCUCUCCCCAUCCUCAGAGCUUGCACGUUAGCAAUACGAAUUUGUACUUUCGCAUUCGAGAUCCUCCCGAUUAAAAGAUCCCUCUGGAGGCAGAAGUAAUUGAUCUGCCCAAGAAUUUCGCGUCCCCUCUCCAAAGGUUUUGUUCCAGGUGGUUUUUGUAUUAGAACGAUCACAAGGAACAAAUGCGCAGAAUAGAGACACCCACGCAGGUUUUACUCACAAAGCCCGGUUAAAGUCCAAACCUCUCUCUUUAUUAUUUGCCAUCCUGCUGUUAAUCCCAAUAUUUUCGAGGAAAAAAAAAAAAAAAAAAGAAAAGAAAAAAAGAAAAAAGAAAAAAAAAAAGAGAGAAGAAAAAAAGCAAAGCGCGACCCCGAGGAAGGCGCAGAGAAGCAAAAUAAAGCCGGGCUUUUCCCACAGCAGAGCAGCCCUCCAACAGCAUAUUUUAAAAGCAGCUUUUUUCCUUGUUUACCCGCGUUUCUCGCUCUGCCUCUUUGCUCGGACACAUUUGAUCUUGGAAAGAGCAAGAAGCUCUAAAUGUGUUCUUAAGGGCCAGAAGCUGUCAAACCUUUUGGCGGCCAAGAUUGAUCGCGCGCAGACACCACCAGAGCUUUGUUUGGACUAAAAGCAAGAAAAUUAAACCCUUUGCAUUUUCCAACAGCAUCGAUAUUUGUAAGGCAUCCCUUUCGAGGGAUUAAAUGACAAGUCUCGUUCUAUAUUUUAUUUAAACAAGCGACCACCAAAAAGCCCAUUUAAAGCCUCCCAGCCCCUCCCCUCCCCCUCUCUCCAAUGCCUUCGCAGAUAUGCUACAUCUUGAGGGUGCAUUAACUUAAAACCGAUUUUUAAAAUGCACUUCGUGCAGUCUGGACGUAGACCGGUCCGCUGAGUGCUUGGGGCUCGUUUUGGUUUUUGUUUUUUGGGUUUUUUUUCCCCCCCCUUUCCCCUCCUCCCCC